GUCACUUGGCUGCGGCAGCCACUCCUUGGUCUGGGGCUGUCCUGAAGAUGAAUUCCAGUGCCCCAGAAGGAAUGACAGGGCAGCGGAGUCCUGCCAUCUCCCCCGAAAAAUGUGUUCAGCGUUGAGUUUUUCAGGCCAAAGACUUCUGGAAAAAGUCACAUUAAU
ensembl:lncRNA